GUUGAAACACCAGUUCCCGUACGAUCAUCGAAGUUAAGCAACGUCGAGCCUGAUCAGUACCUACCAGAUGGGUGACCGCUUGGGAAUACCAGGUACAGUA